rnacentral:tRNA from 2 species
GGGCGUGUAGCUCAGUUGGGAGAGCACGGCGUUCGCAACGCCGGGGUCGGGGGUUCGAAUCCCCCCACGUCCACCA